rnacentral:rRNA from 1 species
UACGUAGGGGGCAAGCGUUGUCCGGAUUUAUUGGGCGUAAAGAGCGUGUAGGCGGCCUGACAAGUCUGCUGUGAAAACUCGAGGCUCAACCUCGAGAUGUCGGCGGAAACUGUCUGGCUAGAGUCCGGAAGAGGCGAGUGGAACUCCUGGUGUAGCGGUGGAAUGCGCAGAUAUCAGGAAGAACACCAACGGCGAAGGCAGCUCGCUGGGACGGAACUGACGCUGAGGCGCGAAAGCGUGGGGAGCGAACAGG